UACGUAGGUGGCAAGCGUUGUCCGGAUUUACUGGGCGUAAAGAGCGCGCAGGCGGUCGUUCAAGUCGCGUGUGAAAGCCCCCGGCUCAACUGGGGAGGGUCACGCGAUACUGAUCGACUCGAAGGCAGGAGAGGGUAGUGGAAUUCCCGGUGUAGUGGUGAAAUGCGCAGAUAUCGGGAGGAACACCGGUGGCGAAGGCGGUUCUCUGGGCCUGACCUGACGCUGAGGAGCGAAAGCGUGGGGAGCGAACAGG
rnacentral:rRNA from 1 species